rnacentral:rRNA from 1 species
UACGUAGGGUGCAAGCGUUGUCCGGAAUUAUUGGGCGUAAAGAGCUCGUAGGCGGCUUGUCACGUCUGCUGUGAAAACUCGGGGCUCAACCCCGAGCCUGCAGUGGAUACGGGCUAGCUAGAGUGCGGUAGGGGAGACUGGAAUUCCUGGUGUAGCGGUGAAAUGCGCAGAUAUCAGGAAGAACACCCGUGGCGAAGGCGGCUCUCUGGGACGGUACUGACGCUGAGACGCGAAAGCGUGGGGAGCGAACAGG